rnacentral:sRNA from 1 species
AAGUAUCCUGAUCUAACUUGAAAUUUUCUCCAUUAAAUUCCAUGUUAGAAUUAUUGUACAUUUUCUUUAAUGUGGAGUUUUACAAUGAAGGACUAAAAAAGGGGUUGAUUUCAAUGGCGCCACGAAUGAUAAUAACCACGUGAUGAUAAAAGAAAAUUAAUUAAAAUCUUUUUUUUUAUCAAAAUUGGCAUUAAUCUACAUUUUCUUUUUGUUUUCUUGUAAAAAAGACUUAAAAUUUAAACAUUCUAUACAUUGUACAGACUUACUAUACACACACAACAAGUGACAAACAUCAACAUAUGUACGAACAACUCACGCGACUUGAAACGACGAAUUAUUGGAAGACAUUUUUUGAAUAAUAUAAAGACAUACAUAACAAAGAAAAACUAUUUUACUUAAAAAAAUACAGAAACUAAAUUGUAAUUAAAGUAUUAAAAAUUUGCUAAAUAAAUGACCGUUUAAGAUCUUUUACACAUUAUGAAUAAAUACAACAUAACAACAACAACAACAAAAGAACAUAUGAAGAAAUACAUCAUGACAAAUGUAUUUUGUUUACACUACAUCACUUUUUUAAUCCAAAAUCCCCUUUUAUAAAGAUUAAUUUGAAGAGCAAACAAAGGAUUUUAUUUCCUGUAAAUUUUAAAUCCUACAGGGCUGGGUUAUUAAUGUUUUUUAAUGAAAUAAAUAUAAUUUUAUUAUCUGUUUAAUCAAAGAAGUCCCAACCAAACACCGGUAUUUCAUUUUCGCUUGAAACAGCACUUCAGUCCUCCCUUACCAAUUGGAGCCCAAUUUUUUAUACGAUAACAAAAUUAAAAAAAAAAAUUGUCUUGGGCCGUAUAAGGACGAUCCUCUUUCAUUUAAUUUUUAAAUCAAACAAAAUUAAAAAAAGUUAUACCAUGAAACGUACAUUCUUUGCUAUUUUGGAAUUUGUGGACUACAUUUUUUCUGCUAUGCAUUAAAUUUUCAAAUUUGAGAUCUUCUCACGACCCUCAAAAUCUUUCGGAUUAAAAAAGUGAUGCGAGCUCAUUGUAUCUUAAGUAGUGAGUGAGAGUGUGUGCGUUUGUGUGUAUGUAUGUAUGUGUGCGUGUGUGUGAAAGAAUUUUCUUCUUUUAUUAUUUUUCAUACUCUUAAUUUUGGUGUGAGAUUGAAUCUGAUGUGUGUGAUAAUUUAUGAUGAUGAUGUACACUUUGGUAUGGAUGUCUCAACAAAUUUCUAUUUACAGUUCUAUUAGUUAAGCUCUAUAUCUAACAGAAAAAAAAACAAAACAAUCUUAAGCGAAAUCGUCGAAAGAAAAAAAAAACCAAAUACCUGCUGCUACAUAACACUCGUAUAUCGAUCCGAGGAGAUUUUUUGACCGACCACCCAAGCAGUAGAGAGCGUUAAUGUGUUAAUUUAGAAAAAAAAUGCAAAAAUUUUCUAAAAUGUGUGACUGGUGGUUCUAAAUAAAUGAUAAUUAAUGGUGGUGAUGAUGUUGGUGAUAUGAUAUAUGACAAUGAUGUUGUGAAAGAUAAUUCUUAAGAGCGUGAAUGGUGGACACAAACCAAACGUUUUAAUGAAUGAUGAUGAUGAUGAGGAUGAUAAUGGUGAUGAUUGGUUUCAUUUACAUUGAUAACAUAACAGAAUACCAAAAUAAACAAAACAAAAAAAAAACCACUUGAUGAUAAUGGGUAUAAAUUUCCAUGUACCUUAAUCUUCUUCAAGCCACAGCCCCCCACAUACACUGAAGAUGGAAACAUAACCAAAAAAAAAAAAAAAAACUUAUGAGAGAUCGUAUUAAUUUAUUUAUUUUUUCCUUCUAAAGAAUGGUAUCACCCACCACCCCCAAAUAUCCAUCUUUGAUCCUUGGCCAUUCUCGAUGUCGUAGAGUAAUUUAUGAUUAACGAUUUUAUGUGUGUGCGGCGGGUGCUCAUCAUUCCAUUUUGUGUAUUGUUCAUAAAGCAAUGUAAAUGAUAGUAUUUUGUAUUUGAUAUAACUAAAAAAAAAUAUGAUAGUGAUGAUGAUAAUGAUGAUUAGUAUAAUAACGUUGAUGAUGAUAAUUAUGAUAAUGUAAUAAUGAAUUUGUUUAAUUCGUAUGAUUGUGUGUGUAAUCUAUAGAAAAUAAUUAUGUAUGUAAUGUGAAUCCUUAGAGUAAUAUUACCAUGAGUAUGUGUGAUUGUAUGAAUGAUAUUAACAUUUGUAAUAGAACUCAAAAUAACAUUCGAAAACAAAUAACAACUUAUGACAUGUAACAACAAUUGAACAUUCAAAACAAGAAAAAAAAAAGUCUUCUACUCAGAAACCACAUUUGAACGGACCAAACAACCAACAAAACAUUAACAAAAGUGCUUAAUAACAAUAGAAACACGUGACUUUUACCAUUGACUGAAACUUUUCAAAAAUAAGCAAAAUAGAAAAUAUAAUCAUUUUAAGGACAGUUUUUUGAAAGUAAAAACAAGUGGAACAAAAAAGCAAUAGUAGCAAACACAUUUUUUUACUAAACAGAGAAUAACAAUUCGAUACUGAGAAGUUGGAAAAAAUACUUGUAAUGUGAUUUGGGAUCCAGAUUAUAAAACUAAUUAUUAAAAAGACCAUAGUAGAAGACUAGAGGAAGGACACUUCCAU